AGUCCUGUAGCUCAGUGGCUAGAGCACUCGCCUUGAAAGCGAGAGGACCUGGAUUCGAUUCCCGGGCGGGGUGA